CCUACGGGUGGCAGCAGUGAGGAAUAUUGGUCAAUGGACGAGAGUCUGAACCAGCCAAGUAGCGUGAAGGAUGACUGCCCUAUGGGUUGUAAACUUCUUUUAUAUGGGAAUAAAACGUUCCACGUGUGGGAUUUUGUAUGUACCAUAUGAAUAAGGAUCGGCUAACUCCGUGCCAGCAGCCGCGGUAAUACGGAGGAUCCGAGCGUUAUCCGGAUUUAUUGGGUGUAAAGGGAGCGUAGGUGGAUUGUUAAGUCAGUUGUGAAAGUUUGCGGCUCAACCGGAAAAUUGCAGUUGAUACUGGCAGUCUUGAGUACAGUAGAGGUGGGCGGAAUUCGUGGUGUAGCGGUGAAAUGCUUAGAUAUCACGAAGAACUCCGAUUGCGAAGGCAGUUCACUGGACUGCAACUGACACUGAGGCUCGAAAGUGUGGGUAUCAAACAGGAUUAGAUACCCCAGUAGUC
rnacentral:rRNA from 1 species